rnacentral:lncRNA from 1 species
CUGGAACGAAAAUCAUCGAACAAUGGUUUAGGAAGGCCUUUAGUAAAGAUGUCUGCAUAUUGGUAUCGUGUAGGCACGUGCAGAACAUGAACUUGACCUAGUGCAACUUUUUCUCGAACAAAGUGGAUAUCCAUCUCGAUAUGUUUGGUACGUUGAUGAUUCAUGGGGUUUCCCGAGAGGUAUAUGGCACUUACGUUGUCACAAUAGACCACAGUUGCCUUUGAAAUGGGGCAGUGAAGU